UGAUUGGCAAGUUCGCUGCAAGGUGGCGGUGGUGCUCUGCUCUUGCGGCAUUUCUUGCUCUCUAUCAAGUUCUUUGAGCUUCAGUUUCUUCUCCGACAACGUUGGCGGUGAGCUCAUCCAGCGAGACAUCAUCCGGGUGACGUUCAUGCCAUGGAUUUUUAUCUGGUUGCUCUUCCUCUUCGCCUUCUUGUGCAGUAAUAAGCGUGAAGAGUUCUCAUUCUGGAAAAUAUCUUUCUGAACUUGACGUGAUGACCUCCGUGGUGCCCUCUUCCUUGUAGAUGGGUGAAAGUGGAGCUCCCUCCUGGUACGGGAGAGUGUCAAGGUAGGCGAUGAGACAUGAGUCAUCGUUCAUGGCUAGAGUGGGUGGUUUCAUGUUGGGCCAAUAGACGAAUCUUCC
rnacentral:lncRNA from 1 species